GCUGACGGAAACUUGAUUUAAAGGGAGUCUGCAGAAGCCCAGCUCGGCUUUGGUGACACGCUCAGCGCAGUCUCCGACACUGUCCGUGUGCUCAGGGCGCCCCGCGGGGUCCGAGAAGCACCGUCCUGUUAAAUCGAGGGCAUUUGAUCGCGGGCAUCCGUUUAUCUUGGGAGCUGCGCCCACAUUUUCCGGGUGAACUUCGGAGUGAGGCCGGCCUGGCCGUCCCGACCAUCGAGCGGCUAAGUGUGCACCGCCAGCGGAUGCUCGUCGCGCGGUUGUGUGAAGAAGGGCCCGUCACCGCCCUCGCCUGCGUGUGCCUGGAUUCUUUCCAGCCGAUUUGAAUUGAUUCUCGGCUCUCUCGUAUUAUUGUCAUCUUGCCAGGACUUCGGAUCAUUCUGAGAUUGCGGGAAAUGACAGACUAUAAUUAGGCUUAAACAGAUUUUUCUUUUCGAGGGAGAAGAACCCACUCUCAGAGCCUGCAGACUGCCUGGGCCGUCACUGUCACCGCGGGUCCCGGGUGGGGCCGGGCUGCGGAGCAGGCCCUGGGCGUGAGCAGCUAAGUAUAGCGAGCUGAUUGCGGCCGGAGCCACCAGCAUCAUCAGCGGCAUUGUGGGGCUGAUUGCGGCGGGAGGCGGCUCAGCCUGCCUGCUUCCGGCUCGAGCUGGUUUCUAGGACAGCCGUGAAAACGUCCGGAGAGCCCGAGGCCCAGGCUGGGGAGAGUGGGGUGUGGGCCCUGUGACGGGCUGAGGCCUGGGCUUGGGGUGCCCUCCAGGAAUCCUGGCCCUCUGGAAGGCUGAGGCAGGACAGUCACAAACUUGAGUGCAGCUGGGCUGUGUAGCAACAUAGUGAGACCCUAUCUCACAUUGUUUCCUGAUCAGUAUUUAUUGGCACGUUUUAGAUGUACUUAAUGAUCACAUUCCUGUACACGAUAUAACUUGAUUCUUUUUUCCCAUUCCUCUACCUUCCCUUCAACCCCUUCUCUCCUCCUCAUUUACAAAAGCUUUGUUUCCAUGUUUUUAUUCUUUUUUUAUCUCACAACUUUAAAAAGGAAAAUAUAAUACCCCGUGCUGUCGAGACUGUGACAUUUCCUCUCCAGUGAAAUUUGAGGCCCAUGAAUACCCUGAAAAUAUAUAUUCCAAACAUAAUCGCUCCCAUUCAUGUGCAUGCACACAGAAAUUAUGUAAUAAUCAAAGCGGGUAUAGAAAUGACCCCGGUGUGUUAUUAUAAGCAGCACACGUGUAUAGUUUCCUGGGAUUGAAUUGCAGAGCAUUCACCUUUGAGGAGACCAAGUCUGGGUCCUGCGGCCUAAUAUAAAUAAUAAUCUCUGCAGGGGUGCAGGCCUGUAAUCCCAGCGCUCAGGAGACCAAGGUAAGAGAUUUGCACUCAGCCUGGGUGAUUCAGAGACUGGUUUCUGCCCUGUCCUUUACCCAGCCCAAGAUUUUCCUACAGAGUUAAACAACUGGGACUCAAAUUAUGACACCAACUGUCAUCUACUGCGUGAUCCUAGGCAGGUCACUUAACCUCUCUGAGCUCUGUUCUCCUGUAUAGGACCAGCUCCAAGAAUCCCACGGGAUCCCUGCACUUAGAGGCCCUGAGUCAACCCGUGCUUUGCUGCCACCAUCUCUCCUUUUGUUCACCCCUCACAACGAUGUGGGCAGUCCCCGACAUCCGUGUACUACUGACCUCCAGCGUGUACUACUCCAUCCGUGUACUACUGACCUCCAUGUACUACUGUCAACCAGCGUUAAAUGAGGAGAGCGGCACUGAACUUCCUGUGACUCGGACACUGCAGACAGAAUUUCCUCGAGGUUGCAGACGUGAGAGUCAGGCUGUGACCAGCCCAAAGGACCUGGGCUCAGUGUGGAACCUGCCAGCUGCUUCUGAACACCAUACGCCUGUGGGCCUGGAGGUCUGGGGCUCUGACAGACCCUCAUGAAUGUUCCUGAGGUCUCUGGGCUCCACCCCGCGCUCAGCUGCCCUGCAGGGACAGGUCAGGCUUCACACAGGCACCACCAGACACACUGGAAUCUGCCAGGCAUCCUCCUCCACCUUGGAAUAAUGUAGCAACCUGAUGUCACUUGCAAGUCAUCCUGAGAGCCUCCCAGAAGGGAGGAGAGUAACACAGAACUGGCCGAGGACACAGCUUGCGCCGUGCAGACACGUAUCACCAGCCAGCUCUCGUCCUCCUGUGCUCCCCUGGUCUAACCCCAGGUCCUUUGGCCAGGAGACCCCCUGGAGCCAGGCCCUCAUGAGCCCAAGCUCAGAAAACCCCUCAAUGCUCCUGAAAUGAAAUUCAUUCCCAAUACAACCAAUCUCAGCACAUAGUUUAAAAAGAAAAUCAAUAUAAUGCUCUAACUGCAUUUUAAUGGAGAAAUAAAAGAGAAGUGAUCUAUAAAAAACACACAAUAAAA